AUUGAACGCUGGCGGCAGGCCUAACACAUGAAAGUCGAACGAGUGGCGUACGGGAGAGUAAUGUAUGGGAAACUGCCUGCUGGAGGGGGACAACAACUGGAAACGGUAGCUAAUACCGCAUACCAUCAGAUGUGCCCAGAUGGGAUUAGCUAGGUGGUUGGGUAACGGCACACCAGGGCGACGAUCCCUAGCUGGUCUGAGAGGAUGACCAGUCACACUAGAACUGAGACACGGUCCAGACUCCUACGGGAGGCAGCAGUGGUGAAUAUUGCACAAUGGGCGCAAGCCUGAUGCAGCCAUGCCGCGUGUGUGAAGAAGGCCUUCGGGUUGUAAAGUACUUUCAGCUGGGAGGCGUUACCCGCAGAAGAAACACCGGCUAACUCCGUGCCAGCAGCCGCGGUAAUUC
rnacentral:rRNA from 1 species